GAGCUACAGCAGGAGACGUAUCCAUGAUUGGCCCUCUCAGGUGGAAAACAGAGCUCCUGGACAGGUCUACCUGGCAUGCGUGUCUCACCUGGUGGCUCCUCCUCUUGUGUUUCAGGGUUCCAGCUGAACAGCACAGUGAUCCAAGAGAUUGUCGCUCGCUACACCGAGAGAAGCUACGCCAUCGACUUCGACCGUUUCAUCGGCUGCUUGAUCUGUCUGGAGAUGCUCUUCAGGAUGUUCAGGACUCUGGAUCCAGCUGGACCUGCAGCAGUGGCUGUGCCUCACCAUCAACUGACAGCUGCCACUCCAGGAGCAUGCUGGGAAAAUGAUUUAGGCAGCACUGUCUUUGGUAAGCUGAAGGCAUCGUAUCCAAAGCAGCGUUAGCAUCAUGCAGUAGCUGAACAGUUUAACGUGCACGUUUGUGUUGGAGGAUAAUGUUGGCAAAAAGUCUAAAGAGGCUCCAGCGAGCAUCGCGAACAUGUUCACUGUGAAUGAUUUUGUUUCCUUGCAAGUAAAAUAAACACGUUGGAUUGGCUGCUGUGUCUCAGUUAUAACAGAUACCAUGGUUACCGUGCAAAGGACAGGAAGCUGAUGCUGCGGUCGCUGACUCUGAAACAGUCCAAAU
ensembl:lncRNA